ensembl:lncRNA
CAGGAGCUUUUAGCAGCAAAAGGAAUCCCAGAAUCCCAAUCUCAAGAGGGGUUGGAAGGGAUCACAAUGGGUCAGCUGGUCCGGCCUCCCCAUCCCAGGGCACAGGGCUGUGUCCAGAUCAUUCUGGAAUAUCCCCAUUGAGGAGACUCCACUCCAUCUCUGGGCAAUCUGUUCAGUCCUCAGUCACUGCACAGGAAAGUUCUUCCUCAUGUCCAGGCGGAACUUCCUGGGCAUCAAUUCCUGCCCAUUCUUGUUUUCCUGUUUCUGGGUCUCACAGAGCAGAGCCUGAUCCAUCAAGCUCGUGGAGGUUCAACAUUUUCAGCAUCAUCUCAUCCAAAUCAAAACUGAGUCUGCCCAUGAACCAAGCAGCACCAGGGAUCAGACAGGCACAGGGUGAAACAGCCCCUGGCCUGGUUUUGGUGUGGGAUGAGCAAUCCCAGGACAUGGCUUGGGAAUGACCACGACUGGGGCCCCUUCCUGACAAACAAGUUGGAUUCAGCCACCCAGAUUUGAUGGCCAGGAACUUUGAAUCUCAGGGAUGUGGCCAGACAGGGUCAGAUGGCCUCAGGGCCAGAGCCCAGGUCUAGCAGGGUGAGUUUACAGCAGAGGUGUUGCUCCCAGAGCUGGACAUCUGUCUGUCUGUCUGUCUCCUCACAGGAACAGACCACACACUGUCACCCCGCUCCCUCUUCUGUAAAUGUUUAUUUUUAAUUCGGUUGCGUAAUGGAUUUCAAACGAGCUGCCAUGAGAUAGCAGUGAAAGGCUGCAGCCACAUCCUUCUGAAGCCAGUCCAUGGGUUUGAAUAUUUUUUGGCCUGGAUUUAUCUUGGAUAAAUUGUGUUCAUCCAAAAAACACUGGUGGAGAGCUGCUGAGGGAGAGUGGCGCUCCCACUGGUGAUGCUCUAACACCAACCACCUGCAAUGGACACCUGAAAUUAGGUGUGAUCAGUCAAAAUAAAACUGUGCAACACCAUCACUAUCCACACCCGUGGCUCAGUAUUUUUUUCUUUUCCUCAGACACAAGGAAUCCUUUCUGUUGCCCCCAGAGCUCCAGAGACUGCCAGUUCCCACAUCAUCCCUGGGCACAGAAGCUUUUCCAGAGGACUGCUGAAUCCUUGGGAACACACAGAUCCAAGCCUCAGUUCCCUGGAGCUCAGCCUUCCAAGCGUGGGAAGAGGAGGCUGUGGUGCUCCCAACCUUCAUCGUCCCAUCCUGGCCAGGAGCAGCCUCCACGUUCUCCACAGGGACUGGCACCAGGAAUGUCCUCUGGCAUGGCUGGAGGAUCACCUGGGAGCAAAUCAACCUGGAAACGCGGCAGAGGCACCUCCAGAGGGCAGCAGGUCCCCAGGUGAUGCUGACACCCCGAUGGUGUCCCCAGGGGCUGCAGGGGUCAGCUGUGGUCACCUGGCUGCUCGUCUCCAUGGGUCUCUGACUGGCACUGGCCUGGGUCAGUCUUCACUGAAUCACUGAAGGGUUUGGGUUGGAAGAGACCUCAAAGAUCACCUAGUCCCCUUGCCAUGUGCAGGCACACCUUCCACUAGAUCAGGAUCCUUCCUUGGGGUAUCUACUUCAUUUUCUCUAUGGGUUUCUCCCAGGUGAGUCAAACAUCAAAGAACUAACAAAGGAUGAUUGGGCCUGAAAUCCUAUCAAAAUAAUGGUGGGAAUUUGCAGCCCAUUUGUUUUUUUUUCAAAGGUAAAAUUAAAUCCAUUUGGUGAUUCCAUAACUAACUUUGUAAGUGUGGGUAUUACUGAAUUAUUUCUCCCUCAACUGAAAAAAUCCCCAAGACCUGAAGAACUAGAAAUCAUUUCCUAAUAAAAUCAAGACCCUUUCCA